rnacentral:rRNA from 1 species
GAUGAACGCUGGCGGCGUGCCUAAUACAUGCAAGUCGAGCGAACAGACGAGGAGCUUGCUCCUCUGACGUUAGCGGCGGACGGGUGAGUAACACGUGGAUAACCUACCUAUAAGACUGGGAUAACUUCGGGAAACCGGAGCUAAUACCGGAUAAUAUAUUGAACCGCAUGGUUCAAUAGUGAAAGACGGUUUUGCUGUCACUUAUAGAUGGAUCCGCGCCGCAUUAGCUAGUUGGUAAGGUAACGGCUUACCAAGGCAACGAUGCGUAGCCGACCUGAGAGGGGGAUCGCAGAAAUGGGAACUGAGACGCGGUCCGGACACCAUCGGGGGGGAGCAGUAGGGUAGUUGACGCAAAGGGCGGAAUCUUAACGGAGUAACGCCGCGUAAGUGAAGAAGGUCUUCGAAUCGUAAAACUCUGUUAUUAGGGAAGAACAAAUGUGUAAGUAACUAUGGACGUCUUGACGGUACUUAAUCAGAAAGACACGGCUAACUACGUG